rnacentral:rRNA from 1 species
CCUACGGGAGGCAGCAGUGAGGAAUAUUGGUCAAUGGGCGCGAGCCUGAACCAGCCAAGUAGCGUGAAGGAUGACUGCCCUACGGGUUGUAAACUUCUUUUAUAAAGGAGUAAAGUGAGGCACGUGUGCCUUUUUGUAUGUACUUUAUGAAUAAGGAUCGGCUAACUCCGUGCCAGCAGCCGCGGUAAUACGGAGGAUCCGAGCGUUAUCCGGAUUUAUUGGGUUUAAAGGGAGCGUAGAUGGUUUGUUAAGUCAGUUGUGAAAGUCUGCGGCUCAACCGUAAAACUGCAAUUGAUACUGGCAGUCUGGAGUACAGUUGAGGUAGGCGGAAUUCGUGGUGUAGCGGUGAAAUGCUUAGAUAUCACGAAGAACACCGAUUGCGAAGGCAGCUUACUAAACUGCCACUGACAUUGAUGCUCGAAAGUGUGGGUAGCAAACAGGAUUAGAUACCCGAGUAGUC